rnacentral:rRNA from 1 species
GGCUGAGACCUGAUGGUGACCACGUAUGUGGGAAAUCGGUGAUCCUAUGCUGCCAAGAAAAACCUCGGCGCGAGGUUCUAGCCGCCCGUACCCCAAACCGACUCAGGUGGUCAGGUAGAGAAUACUAAGGCGAUCGAGUGAAUCGUGGUUAAGGAACUCGGCAAAAUGCCCCCGUAACUUCGGGAGAAGGGGGGCCUGAGGCGUGAACCACCUAGCGUGGGGAAGCGUUUGAGGGCCGCAGAGACCAGGGAGAAGCGACUGUUUACUAAAAACACAGGUCCGUGCGAAGUCGCAAGACGAUGUAUACGGACUGACGCCUGCCCGGUGCUGGAAGGUUAAGAGGAGGGGUCAGCCGCAAGGCGAAGCUCCGAAUUUAAGCCCCAGUAAACGGCGGUGGUAACUAUAACCAUCCUAAGGUAGCGAAAUUCCUUGUCGGGUAAGUUCCGACCUGCACGAAUGGCGUAACGACUUCUCCGCUGUCUCAACCGCGAACUCGGCGAAAUUGCACUACGAGUAAAGAUGCUCGUUACGCGCAGCAGGACGGAAAGACCCCGGGACCUUUACUACAGCUUGGUAUUGGUAUUCGGUGUGGUUUGUGUAGGAUAGGUGGGAGACU